ensembl:lncRNA TMX4-AS1 TMX4 antisense RNA 1
AGGGUGACGCCCGCGAGGACACUGCGGCGUCCGGGGCGGGCGGGCACACUCACAAUUUCAGCAUCCACUCGCCCUCCAUCACCAGCGUCCAGUUGGAGGCGGUCAUGGGCUGGACCCGGCUCUGCUCCGGCGGCAGCGCGGCCUCCUCGGGGCCUGCCGUCGCCGCCACAGCCGCGAUCCAGGCGGCCAGGAGCGCCGUUAGCUGCGGGCCGCAGCGCCCACCCGCCAUGUUGGGCGCCGAGCGAGGCUUCUCGGCGGGGAGUGUGGGGAAGGGCAGCGGCCGGCCCGCAGCCUCGCUCGCCCGCCGGGUUUUUCAAGGAAGCGGGAGACGCAAGGGCCACCCCGCCUACGCCUAGCGGCGCAGACUGGCGGUGCUCGCAAUGCCGCGGAGGACGCCACCUCUUAUCGCCGCUUGCCCGUCGAGGCCACGCCCCCUCCCGCCUCCACUUGCCGUUGCCCGGGGUGUCGGUUACCUCAGCAACCACCGCCCUUUCUUCCUGACCGCCAAGCUGACAAUAAACAGAUGACCCAACGUUGCCUAAGUUAGAACAUGCACCGCUGCUGCCCAGGCUCCAAUAAGGGCAGGGUUGGCGCGUGUGGGCUUCUCUAAAGGGAAACAUGGCCAGUAAUUUUAAAAUCCAUCCCCUCUUCAAUGAUAGCAAAUAUAAAAGCAACGGGCUGCAAGGUACACGUAUGUUUAAUGAAAAAUGGAGGGACGUGGUGAGUAUCUCCUGCUGAAGAGAGAGGAAAAUUUAAGUACUCUGCAUGUGUAUAUUGAAGCAUCACUAAUUUAGGAUAUUGAUGAAACUAGCCUAUGCAAUUGCAUUUUUUUUACAAAAAAUGUUAAUUUCAUAGAAACUCUUAAAAACAUGGGUACUAGCCGAUAAAAUGAGUCAAUUAAGACUAUUGCCACCUGCAGUAAAAUGGACCUCACAUUUCUCUUGACUACAGUUUUGUCAGAUCUAAAAUGAGGGUAGCCUUAAGUGAUUUCCAAAUUUCUUUCCAGGUCACAUUAGAUGAAUCUGUACCUUGGGACCACCACACCGUUAAUAUAUAAGACUGGAUUACAAUUAAAGGAUGAGGAAGCUUUCUCAAAGGGUGCUUUGUAUGUGUUUACUAGUUGUGCAAACCAUGAACCUCGGUAAUGUGGUUAAUAGACCAUGAAAAGGAUGUGGUUUCUGCCCUCGGCUUAAAACAAAGACAGCAAUAAGACUAAAAGUACUUCAGGGCACAUGAGAGCAAAUUUCAAUCAAUACUUAUAGGAGAGGGAAGUUAAUUUUGCCUGAAGAGAAGAUCUGGCCUGCAUUAUGCAUUAAUUAGUAUUAGCUAAAAACUAUGUGGACCUAGCCCUUAUCAUUAAAAUAAAACACUCAAGGGUUUACAAACUAUUGAAAUUUAAGAAAAUGUCUUUGCAAUGAAUGCUACUAAGACUCACUGUUAUUAAGUACAUACAUAUCAAUUCCAUAAACUCAAUGGAAAACAUUUUACUGUGCUUGUAAAAAGAAGUGACUCAUAAACAGGAAUUCUGUCAUUUUAUCACUUUCAUGAUAGAAUGAUGUGUAGAAUUUGUUUUACAAUGCUCCAGAAAUAAAAUGUAGGGAAUGGAAAGAAGAUAGGUGAAAGAAAAGUGGUGCAACAUCAGUCAGUGUUGAAGCUAAGUUCAUUUUGCUACUUUACCUACUCAUGCAUAUGUUGGAAAAUUUACAAAAUGAAAAGCUAAAAGGAGAGAGAGCAUCUUCAGCAUGAAAGACAGCCAUUACCAAAGCAUUUCCUAUCUUUAACAAAAACUGAAGUCUUAGCCUUCAGACUAAGGAUGGUAGGAAGAAAGUAGCAAGGAAGUAUGGGACUGACCUUGCCGUAAGGAGUCACAGACCAGGGUAAGGGACCUGUUGCUGUCAGACCAUGAUUGGCAUCUUAGCCCUGACACUUCCUAGCCAUGUGAUUUGGGGCUAAAACUAGUCCACACCAAAGUUCUCUUAAAAUGCGGGUAGUAAUAGAACCUGCUCCAAAAGGUGGCUGUGAAGAUUAUAUGAGAUAAGAAUAAUGCCUAGCACAUAUUCUAACUCAAAAAGCUUACAUAUUAGGUUGGUGCAAACAUAAUUGUGGUUUUUGCCACAAUAUUGCCAACACUAAUAUUAUUAUUUGGAGGCAACAAUACGCUGUAAUGUCUAUUUUUCUUAUACUAAAGUUAACUUCACUUAGCAUGAUACACAAUGCCUCUCACAGCCCAGCUUCAGUUUUGCCCACUUUACAUUCCACUAUUCCCAGAGUUCCCUGUGUCCUAGUAACACAAAGCUACUCCCCAUUCCCAAAGCACAUUGUGUACUUCAGUGUCUCCUUGCUCCUUCAUUCUGAUUAGAACACUCUUCUCCAGUUGUCCAGUGAAUCAUUCAGUCUCUGUCAUGUAGUCCACACUGUACCUCUGAUAGCUCAUGCAGAAUGAGCUGCUGUCUCUUCUCAGAUCCAAUUGCUCUUCUGUAUAACUGAUAUGGUUUGGCUCUGUGUCCCCAUCCAAAUCACAUUUUGUAGCUCCCCUAAUUCCCACGUGUUGUGGGAGGGACCCCAUGGGAGAUAAUUGAAUCAUGGGGGCGGGUCUUUCCCAUGUUGUUCUCGUGAUAGUGAAUAAGUCUCAUGAGAUCUGAUGGUUUUAAAAAUGGUAAUUUCCCUGCACAAGCUGUCUCUCUUUUGGCCUGCUGCCAUCCGCGUAAGACAUGACUUACUCCUCCGUGCCUUCCACCAUGAUUGUGAGGCUUCCCCAGCCAUGAGGAACUAAUACCCAUCCCAUAGAUGUACUUGGGAUAGACAGCUUCUGGCACUCCUCCCAAGAUCUCUCCCUCCUGGUUACAAAAACCUGAGACUUCCAUUUUGCUGGAAACUUCUUUUCCUCUUGCACACUCACUCUGCGACUCUGUGUGGAGAGCUCCAUGUGACAAGGGAGGUCUGCAGCCUAAGCAACUGAGACCUCAGCCCAACAGCCCUCAAAGAACUGGAUCUUCAAACAACCACAUGAGUGACCUAGAAGCAAAUCUGUCACCAGUGCUCUUGAGACGGGCUGAAGUAUUUAAUCACCGGCACAAAAUGUCCCAGUGUUCUGUUCUCCUGCUGUGGAAAUUUUAGAGAAAAGAUCAUGAUCUAAGAGUCUACAAGACCAGAGCAGCCUGAAUUGCUGAGCUGCCUGGUGGAGAAUAGCAGCAUUGGGUGGUUCCCAGGAUUCUUAAAAGGACUUUACAAAGGCCUGGCCUAAUCACUUAAGAGCUCUUAAGGAGUGAAUGGGCUCUUCCUGAAAAAAGAGCUUCUGCUAACCCUGAAAAGCAAGCAACAACCCUGUGAACUGCUAUGGAGAGAGAUGGCCUCUAACAGCUGAGGACCUCAGUCCUACAACCACAAGAAACUGAUUUCUGCCAACAACAUGAAUGAACUUGGAAAAGGCCCCUGAGCUCCAGAUGAGAACACCCAGGUCAACUCAGGUCAUGAGCAGAGAACCCUGUUAUAUUCUCCUUGGCUUGUGAUCCAUAAACAAUGAGAUUAUAAAUGUGUGGUUUUUAAGCCAUUAGGUUUGUGGUAACUUGUUACACAAGCCUCUUUUAGAUUCUUUACAUACAC